CACCGCGGUUAUACGAGAGGCCCAAGUUGACAGACAACGGCGUAAAGCGUGGUUAAGGGUAUCCUAAACUAAAGCCGAACAUCUCCAGGACUGUUAUACGUUUCCGGGGAAACGAAGAUCAACUACGAAAGUGGCUUUAUAAAACCUGAAUCCACGAAAGCUAAGAAA
rnacentral:rRNA from 1 species